CUUUUAAAAAUAAUUUUAAAAUUAUUUUUUCCAGAAUUAUAUUUUCAGAAUUUUGAUCUUACAGGAUUUCAACACAUGGGAUGAUGGCUUUCAGGAUUGCGUCUUUCAGGAUUAUAAUCAGCUCCCAUGCUGGAGAAAACACCAGUAUCUGGAUGACUGGAAAAGUCAUGGAAUGUGCUCAUGAUCCUAUCCUGGGGCAAGGAAGAAUUAGACCGUGGAGUGAUUUGAAGAGGCCAUGGAAGAAAAAAUAUAAAGUUAUUUUGUGUUUAUAAGCCCAGCUAAGUCCAGCUCAUUCAAUGAAAUGAUUAUAAGCAUUUAUGGAAAGCAGAAAGGGAGGGUUCCUCCUGCCAGGAACCCGCCUCUAGCCACAGAGGAUAACGAUCACUGAGGAUAAGGGUUUUCCCAGUGAAGAGCUUUGGAAAUGUUUCACUUGACUAGAAAUGAUCCUGACCCCAAGGUUCUGGCCCACCAGAGAAUAGUGGGAACAAUAGUUUAUCUCCUUGAGUAAUGAGAAGGAUUCCAGUUCUCAGGUGAGCUGCGCCUCUUGCCAGGUAGUCCAGAGCCUUUUAAGUCUAAAGCCCACAUCAGUGUUUUCAAAAGUGUUUCCACAAAGCAUGACAUCCACGGAUUAUGAAUAGGCAUUACCAAGGAAAACAGGGUUCCAUGGUUUAAAAGUUUGAAAAAUGUGGGCUGGGAAUGAUGGUUCAUGCCUGUAAUCCUAGCACUUUAGGAAGCCAACACAGGAGGAUCACUUGAGCCAAGGAGUUCAAGACCAGCCUGGGCAACAUAGUUAGACCUUGUCUCUUUAAAAGAAAAAAAAAAUUAAGUUUGAAAAGUGCUGUUAAAUAAAACUAAACAGUUAUCUUUCCUGCAGGACUUGUCAGAGCCUUAGAAUGCUAAGGUAUGUUGGUCAUGCUUCUAUAAGCAUUGUUCAUUUCCUGCAGCUCGUUUUGCUACAGAACACUUUAGUUUGUUCCUAGGAAUGCUCUGGAGUGGUUGGAAGUGCACUUCACUCCCCUGUGCAAUGCCCUCCUCCUGCUUCUGUCAGCAUCAGCGACUACAGCCUUUAGCAUUUUCAGGUGUAUUUCAGAAAUCAUUCCCUGUGAUCUCUGACUCCAGGGAAGGUUGUCGAGUUAUUUGAGUGCUCCUCUUGAAUGCCAGUUCUACUUAGCUUCAGAUAAAGAAGAAAACCCUCUUUGCCUUCUCCUCUGGAGAGGGUAUUGGAAGUUUAUUAUACAUUGAAAAUGUCUCCAAGGUAUCUCACUUCCCCCAGCCUCUUCUACCGUAACUCUUUUGCAAUCUUCUACCAUAACUAGUGGACUAAU
rnacentral:lncRNA from 1 species